UACGGGGGGGUAAGCGUUGUUCGGAAUUACUGGGCGUAAAGGGCUCGUAGGCGGCCAACUAAGUCAUACGUGAAAUCCCUCAGCUUAACUGGGGAACUGCGUGUGAUACUGGAUGGCUUGGAUUUGGGAGAGGGAUGCGGAAUUCCAGGUGUAGCGGUGAAACGCGUAGAUAUCUGGAGGAACACCGGUGGCGAAGGCGGCAUCCUGGACCAAUAUUGACGCUGAGGAGCGAAAGCCAGGGGAGCAAACGGG
rnacentral:rRNA from 1 species